rnacentral:rRNA from 1 species
AACGAACGCUGGCGGCGUGGAUAAGACAUGCAAGUCGAGCGGUUUUGCCGGUUUGGCAACAGAUUGGCAAGGCAGCGGCGAACGGGUGCGUAACACGUGGGAAUCUGCCCGGAAGAGGGGAAUAGCCCAGCGAAAGCUGGAUUAAAGCCCCAUGACCCCGAGAGGGCAAAGGCCGGGGAACCGAAAGGUCCUGGCGCUUCCGGAUGAGCCCGCGGCCUAUCAGCUAGUUGGCGGGGUAAAGGCCCACCAAGGCGAUGACGGGUAGCUGGUCUGGGAGGACGGCCAGCCACACUGGGACUGAGACACGGCCCAGACACCUACGGGUGGCAGCAGUCGAGAAUCUUUCACAAUGGGGGAAACCCUGAUGGAGCGACGCCGCGUGGAGGACGAAGGCCUUCGGGUUGUAAACUCCUGUCACUGGGGACCAAUACCGGCGGGUCGGAAGGCCCGAUCGGGGCGAUGGUACCCGGAGAGGAAGAGACGGCUAACUCUGUGCCAGCCGCCGCCGUAACAC